rnacentral:rRNA from 1 species
GGCGAACGGGUGAGUAAUACAUCGGAACGUGCCCCGUAGCGGGGGAUAACCAGUCGAAAGACUGGCUAAUACCGCAUACGCUCCACGGAGGAAAGCAGGGGAUCGCAAGACCUUGCACUAUGGGAGCGGCCGAUGCCCGAUUAGCUAGUUGGUGAGGUAAAGGCUCACCAAGGCGACGAUCGGUAGCUGGUCUGAGAGGACGACCAGCCACACUGGGACUGAGACACGGCCAGACUCCAUACGGGAGGCAGCAGUGGGGAAUUUUGGACAAUGGGCGCAAGCCUGAUCCAGCCAUGCCGCGUGCGGGAAGAAGGCCUUCGGGUUGUAAACCGCUUUUGGCAGGAACGAAACGGCGCGAGUUAAUACCCCGCGCUAAUGACGGUACCUGCAGAAUAAGCACCGGCUAACUACGUGCCAGCCGCCGCGG